CUGGUUCACCGUGAUAGCGCUGGUGGAGCUGGGCUGUUGUACUGAACAUGUGUCGUGCGUGUGCGUGAAUGAUAAAUCCUCCCAGCAGAGAUGUGAACAGAGGAGGAGACAUGCGGCUCUUCUGAUUCCUUCUUUUUCAAUCCCUCCAUUUAAAAGCACAAGUUCACACUGCAGUAGUUGUACACCUUUAAUGUCUCCAUAUCCUCUCCAGAGAAAACAACUAUCAGUUUGCAGCUGCUGAAAGGACAGUAACUGUUCAACACUGACUGUUGCAUCCAGCCUGCUAAACCCUGGGUUGUUUCCUCUCGUCUGUGUGUUUUAUAUGUGUAAAGCAACCAAUAUAACCUUUGUUUCUUUGUACUCACUUGU